rnacentral:rRNA from 1 species
AGAGUUUGAUCAUGGCUCAGAUUGAACGCUGGCGGCAGGCCUAACACAUGCAAGUCGAACGGUAACAGGAAGCAGCUUGCUGUUUCGCUGACGAGUGGCGGACGGGUGAGUAAUGUCUGGGAAACUGCCUGAUGGAGGGGGAUAACUACUGGAAACGGUAGCUAAUACCGCAUAACGUCGCAAGACCAAAGAGGGGGACCUUCGGGCCUCUUGCCAUCGGAUGUGCCCAGAUGGGAUUAGCUUGUUGGUGGGGUAACGGCUCACCAAGGCGACGAUCCCUAGCUGGUCUGAGAGGAUGACCAGCCACACUGGAACUGAGACACGGUCCAGACUCCUACGGGAGGCAGCAGUGGGGAAUAUUGCACAAUGGGCGCAAGCCUGAUGCAGCCAUGCCGCGUGUAUGAAGAAGGCCUUCGGGUUGUAAAGUACUUUCAGCGGGGAGGAAGGGAGUAAAGUUAAUACCUUUGCUCAUUGACGUUACCCGCAGAAGAAGCACCGGCUAACUCCGUGCCAGCAGCCGCGGUAAUACGGAGGGUGCAAGCGUUAAUCGGAAUUACUGGGCGUAAAGCGCACGCAGGCGGUUUGUUAAGUCAGAUGUGAAAUCCCCGGGCUCAACCUGGGAACUGCAUCUGAUACUGGCAAGCUUGAGUCUCGUAGAGGGGGGUAGAAUUCCAGGUGUAGCGGUGAAAUGCGUAGAGAUCUGGAGGAAUACCGGUGGCGAAGGCGGCCCCCUGGACGAAGACUGACGCUCAGGUGCGAAAGCGUGGGGAGCAAACAGGAUUAGAUACCCUGGUAGUCCACGCCGUAAACGAUGUCGACUUGGAGGUUGUGCCCUUGAGGCGUGGCUUCCGGAGCUAACGCGUUAAGUCGACCGCCUGGGGAUACGGCCGCAAGGUUAAAACUCAAAUGAAUUGACGGGGGCCCGCACAAGCGGUGGAGCAUGUGGUUUAAUUCGAUGCAACGCGAAGAACCUUACCUGGUCUUGACAUCCACGGAAGUUUUCAGAGAUGAGAAUGUGCCUUCGGGAACCGUGAGACAGGUGCUGCAUGGCUGUCGUCAGCUCGUGUUGUGAAAUGUUGGGUUAAGUCCCGCAACGAGCGCAACCCUUAUCCUUUGUUGCCAGCGGUCCGGCCGGGAACUCAAAGGAGACUGCCAGUGAUAAACUGGAGGAAGGUGGGGAUGACGUCAAGUCAUCAUGGCCCUUACGACCAGGGCUACACACGUGCUACAAUGGCGCAUACAAAGAGAAGCGACCUCGCGAGAGCAAGCGGACCUCAUAAAGUGCGUCGUAGUCCGGAUUGGAGUCUGCAACUCGACUCCAUGAAGUCGGAAUCGCUAGUAAUCGUGGAUCAGAAUGCCACGGUGAAUACGUUCCCGGGCCUUGUACACACCGCCCGUCACACCAUGGGAGUGGGUUGCAAAAGAAGUAGGUAGCUUAAACCUUCGGGAGGGCGCUUACUACUUUGUGAUUCAUGACUGGGGUGAAGUCGUAACAAGGUAACCGUAGGGGAACCUGCGGUUGGAUCACCU